rnacentral:rRNA from 1 species
UACGUAGGUGGCAAGCGUUGUCCGGAAUUACUGGGUGUAAAGGGAGCGCAGGCGGGGGAGCAAGUCAGCUGUGAAAUCCAUGGGCUUAACCCAUGAACUGCAGUUGAAACUGUUCUUCUUGAGUGAAGUAGAGGUUGGCGGAAUUCCGAGUGUAGCGGUGAAAUGCGUAGAUAUUCGGAGGAACACCGGUGGCGAAGGCGGCCAACUGGGCUUUUACUGACGCUGAGGCUCGAAAGUGUGGGGAGCAAAC